UUAGUGCAUCUUUGCUCAACAACGUGCAUGCAUUUUAAUUACACAGUUUUCCUCUUUUGCUGCCUAAUAGCUAUAUGAUAUGCUUUAAUUUAAUUACCAAAUGAUGAGAACUUGGCUCUCCUGAGUUGUUUCCCUAUUGUCUCCUAUGAUUAUUAGACAAUUAGUCUUUUAUUUGUAGACUACUUGCCACAGUCUUUUCUUAGAGACUCUGGGGCACCUGGACUUGAAGAAAGAGCUGACUGGUUAUUUAAACAUUUACAUUAGCUGGAAUUGACAGUCAUAUCUCUUAACACUAUGACAGUGUGAUGGAAGUGAUAAGUAGCUGAAGUAGAAUCUCAUCAGGCAAAUGAAAAUUUGCAAUUAAAAGGCAUAUGCAAAGAAGGACAGAAGACUGAACAGGGACCGAAGACUGACUUCGUCCAUGAACAGGGACCCUCUUGCUGUUGCUUGAUUGAACGAUAAAGACAGCUGGAAAAGGAGGGUGAGUGGGAAAGCCGACCGAAGGAGUUGCUGUCCUGGCAACUGAUCAAAGGAGUGCACUCAGAGAAGCUGCGUCAGGGAUCACGAAGAUUAGCCGCGAUCGUGAAGUCACGAAGAUUAACCGCGACAAAGGAGUCAGGGAUCACGAAGAUUAGCCGCGAUCGUGAAGUCGUGAAGUUUAGCCACGACAAGGGCACGAGGAUUGCGAGGGGAAAUCUCACUUAGCGCAGGUGAGCAGUCGGGGAGGAGAUGGGAAUUUCAGUGUCCAAAGAAGAUGCAACGGUAGUAAAGCUCCUCCAACAUAUCCUUUCUAAGAGAGGGUUAACUUAUGAUGAUGGAACGCUAAAAACCUUGUUGAAAUGGGCCCGAGAUAUGGGCUUGAUACCGAGAGUGGGAGUUGCUUUUGAACUGCCUACCUGGGAAAAUAUUGGAAGUGCCCUUUGGGAAGAAAUUAGCAAAGCUUCAAAAGAAGCAGUUCGAUUGGCUACAUUAUGGGGACUUAUAAAAGAGACUUUGAAAGAAAUGAAAGGUGAGCCAGCAGCGGCUAUCUCUGCUUUUGCUGCGUUUUCACCCACGUCGCCAUCUGAUAGACUAUCUGAAGUAAACAUGCCGGGUCUGGCACCGGCGGACCAUCAAUCCGUUCUGUCUCAGCCACCUCAGUCGCCUGUGCCUUUAACAUCACCUCAAAGUGAAGAAUUAAAUUUAUCAAAAGGGAGUGAGCCCGAUGAAAAGGGAGUGGCGUCAGCAAUUGAUUUGGACAUUAAAGUUAAUGAGGAGGAAUGAGAUAAAUCGGAGAGACCGGCUAGAUUAUAUCCGUCUCUGCCACCUUCAACUCCGGGAAGCCCCCCUGGAUCGCCCCGAGCAGCUGAAAAACACAAGGAAGCAGCAUUGCGCUCAACAGGUUAACUACCGCUGGAUGGAGGUAAGCGGCCGGGAACGCGUUGGAGUUGUGGGAAACGGAAUCUCCCUGCAAGACAGGUCCAUGCUAAGCGUAAUGCAAAAGACUUUGAAACAGCACAGUAGAGAUAUACCCCCACCAAGAUCUGCAAAUGCUAUUAGUGUGGGCACGUUCGAACUGUCCUGAGGUGAAUUCCAGUAUGAUUUAUAGCCUCAGUACAUGGGACUCAAUCAGAGUUAAGCUCUGGGAUGCGGCAACAAGAAAUGAUAAGACAGCGGCAGGAGUUUUAGCCCCACAGCCCCCACAGCACCUCCGUCAAGCGACACGGUGGUGGGGGCGGUGGGUGGACGGGACUCCCCAGGAAACAACCCAGACAAUCCAUUUGACCCAGGGCCGAUCAAUCCGGAGCAGGAGCCAGACAUCUAUCCACCUCUUAAUAUGCCUUGCUGUGUCCACUUUACGGCCCCUUCGGAACCACCUCCCCCUCAAGAGACGGGGCCGCCCACGAGUUUGGACUGCCCACAACCCCCGCCACUGACCCGGCCUUCUGGGAAGGAUCCAUCGCCCCAGGGCCGCUCGGCGGGGCGUGACUACACCAGGCCGGGGACACCCCCGGCCUGCCUUCUUCCCUGCCUCCUUUCCUUCCUGCCUUCCUUCCCCUCCCAGCCAGCCCUUCCUCUCUCUGCCUGGUGCCGCCUCCACCUGGUGCCGCCACUGCCAAUCAGCAGGAGCAGGAACACGGCGAAAUCGGAGCUGGCCUCAGCCUUGAACUGCAGCACGAGCUCAAAUUCAAAGAGCCUUUCACAGAUGUCACUACAAACUUGAAGCUCGGCAAUCCUACAGAUAGAAUGUGUGCUUCAAAGUUAAGACCACAGCACCACAUAGAUAUUGUGUAAGACCUAACAGUGCAAUUAUCGAUGCAGGAACAUCAAUUAAUGUUUCUGUGAUGCUACAGCCUUUUGACUAUGAUCCUAAUGAGAAAAGUAAACACAAGUUUAUGGUUAAAAAAAAAGGAAAAAAAAGAAAGAAAAAAGAAAAAAAGAAAAAGAAAAAAGAAAAAAGAAAGAAAGAAAAAAGAAACAGAAAAAAGAAAAAAGAAAGAAAGAAAAGAAAAAGAAAAAAGAAAAAGAAAAAGAAAAAAAGAAAAGAAAAAAGAAACAGUCUAUGCUUGCUCCAGCUGAUACUUCAGAUAUGGAAGCAGUAUGGAAAGAGGCAAAACCAGAACUCAUGCAUUCGAAACUUAGGUGUGUGUUUGAGUUACCAACGGAAAAUGAUAAGCUUUAUGACAUAGAAAUGAGAUUGUAUCUAUAACUGCAACAAAGACAGAUUCUUCUGUAAUGUCUAAAUCAGUAAGUCCCUCUUCGGAGGCACCUAGCUUGAGCUGUAAUUACUGCACACGUGUAACUAAAAUUUAAUUAUUUAAUUUGCUUUGAUUUGGCUCUGAACUUUUCUGCAGGAACCUAGGGUCAGGACCUGUUAUGGUGGCCGACAAGCCUAAUUUCCAUAACAGUUUGGCGACCCAGAUGGGACCCUAGGCGACCACUGUUGGGGCCUCUUGUCUCCAAACGAUCAUCUGGCACCAUCGGGUGAGUUCACCUGGGGUCUUUUGGCAACCUUUUGGAAAAGGUGAGUCUUAAAUUCCUGCCUAAAUUCUAAAUUCUGGUCUGGUAACAGUGCACUGAAGGGGUACGUGAGCUGGCCACUGUAAGGCGUACUGGGGGAUGGGUGUGAGUCCCAUCCCCAGGGUUUGAGUGGGUUUUAAGUCCCAGCUUGGUCUGGCCGGAAAGGGGAGUGCGUAGCCUGAUCAGCAUAAGGUGCACUGCAAGACUGUAAGACAGAAGUCUAGAGUCACUGUGACUGGUGUGAGUGUGAGCAGUACUGUGUGUGCGAGUGCGUAUAGCCUGGGAACUGGCCGGGGCGCCCCUCGGCUGAUGACGCCGCCCACUGCAAAGGGACAGCAGUCCUAGCAGUUAAAGACUCGGGUGGUGUGAGUGUGGUUCCCAGAGAGUGAGAGAAAGAGAGUGUGUGAUUAAAAAAAAAAAAAAAGGACCAACUAUGUCAGGAGGAUUGCCCAUUCCUGACAAAGGAGGAAAACCCAGCGGAACCCAGCAAGGAACUUUUGAUCAGCAGGCUAAAUUGUCCCAUGAUUUCUUUUUUUUCACCAAAAUGCAAAAGUGCUACAAAAAACUUAUCACAAGAGACCAGGCCCAAGACAUUAUUUGAAGUUGCCCCCAUUGCCAAAAUGUAUCCUCAUUACCACCCUAGUUGUCUGAUAACACUGGUGUCUCGAUCAAUCAAGAGUGUCUGGAUUGCUCAAAGAAAAGAAGGGGGAUUUGUGGAGGAUUUUCUAGAGGAAAACGGACAUGUGAGCAAUCCAGCCCUAAUGCUAAUAGCAAGAGUGUGAAAGUAGGUUUUGUGGCCUACCGGUAAGGUUACUAGAGGGCAUGCAAUGUGGUGAGAGACUGUCCCUGGAAUGAGAAAAACAACUCCCAGAUGUUCAGUAAGGAACUUACGGGCUUAGGGGAGUUUCUUUGCCUCCUCGUGGACAGUACAUGCUAUCCAAUCACAUACUGUUCAGAUGUGCGUGCUAAAUGAACAUGUACCAAUCACUGCAUAGUUUGAUUCAUGUGAUCAUAGUUAAGGCAUAUAAAAGAUGCUAUUCGGGCUUAAUAAAGUGUCACCAUUUAAUCAUAUUGAUUGGCGUGCUGUCCGUUUAUCUCCCGCAAAACAAGUUGUUAGCCUUAAAGCUUUCAUUUUCUGGGAGAAUUCUUCUCUAAAUUGCAUGCACUGCCUCCAGACUCUGUUUGAAGCCUGUUUUCUGCAUCUUAAAUUUGUCCUAUUUUUUUCUUUUUUCUGACCUGUCUCAGACUGCUUAGGAGUUGGAGUAAAUCACCAUAACACCCUAAAAUUAAUUGACACUGUGCUGGCUUACAGGAGCUAAGGCUUUUGCCUAGAAAGUGUAGGAGUGGGGAAUGUUCAUCUAUAUUGAGUAUAGAAACAGCAGAUCUAUUUAAACUAAAUUGGAAGUAGUGAAUUCAACUCGAGCCACUUCUACUGUUUCAGACACUUUAUAUUCAGAUUUAGUCCAGGUAGUUUAGCAAAGAGCCAUAUCAAGCUAGAUCCACCAUCGUAAGUGUGCUGUGCUGGUCUGUAUGCUGCGUCAGAAGAAUAUUCCAUGGUUGCUAAUUGUGAAUUGAUUUCUCUCCCUAACUGUGGGACAUGCUAAUGUACUUAGAGUUUACCAGCCUUGGCAUCACCGUAUGUGUCAAUG